UUGACCGUUGGCUCCGGGGUGGGGGUCGCCGUUCGAGUGAUCUGCUCAGACCCGACCAGAGGGCGCGGGCUGCUGAUGCUUGGCUUGGAGCCCGUGGGGGAGACCUAGUUCGGCUCCGCCAUGCCGGCCGCCGGGAGUAACGAGCCGGACGGCGUCCUCAGCUAUCAGAGACCAGAUGAAGAAGCUGUGGUGGAUCAGGGUGGGACCAGUACAAUUCUCAACAUUCACUAUGAAAAAGAAGAGCUGGAAGGGAUAUCAUUAGGAUCUAAUUGCCUACAUGGGAGAUAGUGCUUUGAACACGGUGAAGUCCAAUAUAAAUAUUAACAAGUAACCUGUUCUUUGAGAAUGUGAUGUACUCAGUUCAGUGCGUUAAUUCUUGACAACUGCCUGGAAAUACAAAUAAAUACAAAACUUAAAGAGAAAAUAAAAUACAAAUAGUUUUAAAAACUCA
rnacentral:lncRNA from 10 species